UACGUAGGGGGCAAGCGUUGUCCGGAAUCAUUGGGCGUAAAGCGCGUGUAGGCGGCCAGAAAAGUCCGCUGUGAAAACUCGAGGCUCAACCUCGAGACGCCGGUGGAAACCAUCAGGCUAGAGUCCGGAAGAGGAGAGUGGAAUUCCUGGUGUAGCGGUGAAAUGCGCAGAUAUCAGGAAGAACACCCGUGGCUAAGGCGGCUCUCUAGUACGGUACUGACGCUGAGACGCGAAAGCGUGGGGAGCGAACAGG
rnacentral:rRNA from 1 species